GAUGGGCCUUUGGAUCCAUCAAUUAAAAAGCCCAUAAACAACAGCACUCAGGGAAACCCUAAUCUUCCAAUCCUAUAAAUACAUUAGUCCGCCCAUUUUCACCUCCAAUAUCUCUCUGAUUAACCAGAGCUUAUCAAUGGCGGAGAUUUCGUAUAUUUGAUUCUCAGAAUCAUUGAUGUCAGUGUUGAAUGGGAACUCCACCAUCCUGAGGAAGGUUUUUGAACUUUACACUGAUUGCUCUUACCUGGGCAAUACUGGGAGUGGUGGGAUGUGGUAACUAAUACUAAUAACCUCCUUGCCUGUACUUGAGGGACUGAAACUAGUGGAAGAAAAUGCUCUUAUGCCAGUGGACAUCGAUGUAGACUCGAAAGAAGUUCCUAUAAUUAUGCUAGUGAAGGAAACCUUCACUAUAAUACUAUUAUUGAUGAUUGUAUGGUGGCUGGAUGCACUAGCAAAAGAGGGAGCAAGGUUGGAUCUUCUUGGCAAAACAAACUACUAAUUAAGGCCUGUAAUGUCUCUCUAAAGGGCAUAAGCCCAAACUCAAAUUUUGUAGAUCCUGUUUAUUCAUGUAAUACUCUAUUAUUUUAAUGCAUUUCCAGGCCACCAAAAUAAAAAACAAUAAAUGAGAGAAGAAACUGUGAAAACAAAAAAGCAAAAAAGCAUACAAUUAACUGAUUAAGGCUUCAUUUGUUUGUAAUUAAUGGAAGUCUGAAUUUGAA